rnacentral:rRNA from 1 species
ACCUACGGGAGGCAGCAGUAGGGAAUCUUCCACAAUGGGCGAAAGCCUGAUGGAGCAACGCCGCGUGGGUGAAGAAGGUCUUCGGAUCGUAAAACCCUGUUGUUAGAGAAGAAAGUGCGUGAGAGUAACUGUUCACGUUUCGACGGUAUCUAACCAGAAAGCCACGGCUAACUACGUGCCAGCAGCCGCGGUAAUACGUAGGUGGCAAGCGUUAUCCGGAUUUAUUGGGCGUAAAGGGAACGCAGGCGGUGUUUUAAGUCUGAUGUGAAAGCCUUCGGCUUAACCGGAGGAGGGCAUUGGAAACU